rnacentral:rRNA from 1 species
UCAAAAACAUGUCUUUUUGAAAAUAAUUUAAAGUCUAAUCUGCCCACUGAUGAAAAUUAAAGGGCUGCAGUAUAUUGACUGUACAAAGGUAGCAUAAUCAUUAGUCUUUUAAUUGAAGACUUGUAUGAAAGAUUUAAUGAAAUAUAAACUGUCUCUUAUUUAAAAAUAGAAUUUAAUUUUUUAGUUAAAAAGCUAAAAUAAAUUUAAAAGACGAGAAGACCCUAUAGAGUUUUAUAAUUAAAUUAUUUAAGAUUUUUUAUAUAAUUUAUAGUUAAAAAUAAUUUAAUUAUUAUAUUGGGGUGAUAAAAAAAUUAAAAUAACUUUUUUUUUAUAAUAACAUAAAUAAGUGAAAAGUUGAUCCAUUAAUAAUGAUUAAAAGAAAAAAUUACCUUAGGGAUAACAGCGUAAUUUUUUUUUUUAGUACAAAUAAAAAAAAGAGAUUGCGACCUCGAUGUUGGAUUAAGAUAAAAUUUAGAUGCAAAAGUUUAAAAUUUUGAUCUGUUCGAUCAUUAAAAUCUUACAU